rnacentral:rRNA from 1 species
AUUGAACGCUGGCGGCAGGCCUAACACAUGCAAGUCGAACGAGUGGCGGACGGGUGAGUAAUGUCUGGGAAACUGCCUGAUGGAGGGGGAUAACUACUGGAAACGGUAGCUAAUACCGCAUACCAUCAGAUGUGCCCAGAGGGGAUUAGCUAGUUGGUGGGGUAACGGCUCACCAAGGCGACGAUCACUAGCUGGUCUGAGAGGAUGACCAGCAACACGGGAAAUGGGACACGGUCCAGACUCCUACGUGAGACAGCAGGGGGGAAGAUUGCACAAUGGGCGCAAGCCUGAUGCAGCCAUGCAGGGUGUAUGAAGAAGGCCGUCGGGUUGUAAAGUACUUUCAGCGGGGAGGCGUUACCCGCAGAAGAAGCACCGGCUAACUCCGUGCCAGCAGCCGCGGUAAUUC